GGAUUUCUAUUCAAUCUCAGUGAUUGUCUCGAUGCUGUAGUUGUGUGUCUGAUCUUUUGACUUGAGAUGGCACUACUACUCAUAGUGAGGCUGUUGGAGUUUGAUUGAUACAUAAACAUGGAUCUCAAUGUGCCCUUGUAGUAGAUAUUGGCGAUAGUUGGUCCACUGUAGGAGUAGGGUGUGCAUCAAGAUGGGAUUUAUCAAUCUUGAUAGAGAGUAGUAGUCCUAUGAGAUUUGAGAAGCUAAGUCUAUGAAUCUGUGAUCACAUUAGAGUGAUUGAUGGAAAAAAAUUUUCAUAGACAUCACAUCUGGACUUGACCUAAUCAAAUCUAUCAUAUGACUGAUGUUGAGGUUUGACGAUUUAUCCAUGACCUGCCAUCUAGUCGAGACUCACGAUAGAAGGACUGAAUCACACAUUAACUACACCUAGAGAUUCUUUUUAAUUCUACUGGGUUGCCACUACAUACUGUUAAGUGUCACUGAUAGAUUGUGAGAGCUCACUAGGAUUGUUCCGGAUCGACAAUCCUUGUUGAGUUAGAGUGAAAUUACUCCGACCC
rnacentral:lncRNA from 1 species